AUUGAACGCUGGCGGCAGGCCUAACACAUGCAAGUCGAGCGAGCGGCGGACGGGUGAGUAAUGUCUGGGAAACUGCCUGAUGGAGGGGGAUAACUACUGGAAACGGUAGCUAAUACCACAUACCAUCAGAUGUUCCCAGGUGGGAUUAGCUAGUAGGUGGGGUAACGGCCCACCUAGGCGACGAUCCCUAGCUGGUCUGAGAGGAUGACCAGACACACUGGAACUGAGAAACGGUCCAGACUCCUACGGGAGGCAGCAGGGGGGAAGAUUGCCCAAUGGGAGCAAGCCUGAUGCAGGCAUGCCGAGUGUGUGAAGAAGGCCUUCGGGUUGUAAAGCACUUUCAGCGGGGAGGCGUUACCCGCAGAAGAAGCACCGGCUAACUCCGUGCCAGCAGCCGCGGUAAUAC
rnacentral:rRNA from 1 species